rnacentral:rRNA from 1 species
UAUGUAGGGUGCGAGCGUUAAUCGGAAUUACUGGGCGUAAAGCGUGCGCAGGCGGUUCGUUGUGUCGGCGGUGAAAGCCCCGGGCUCAACCUGGGAAUGGCCGUUGAAACUGGCGAACUGGAGUGUGGCAGAGGGGGGUGGAAUUCCGCGUGUAGCAGUGAAAUGCGUAGAGAUGCGGAGGAACACCGAUGGCGAAGGCAGCCCCCUGGGCUAACACUGACGCUCAGGCACGAAAGCGUGGGGAGCAAACAGG